GAUGAACGCUGGCGGCGUGCCUAAUACAUGCAAGUCGAGCGAACAGACGAGGAGCUUGCUCCUCUGACGUUAGCGGCGGACGGGUGAGUAACACGUGGAUAACCUACUUAUAAGACUGGGAUAACUUCGGGAAACCGGAGAUAAUACCGGAUAAUAUAUUGAACCGCAUGGUUCAAUAGUGAAAGACGGUUUUGCUGUUACUUCUAGAUGGUUUCGCGCCGCAUUAGCUAGUUGGUAAGGUAACGGCUUACCAAGGCAACGAUGCGUAGCCGACCUGAGAGAGUGAUCGGCCACACUGGAACUGAGACACGGUCCAGACUCCUACGGGAGGCAGCAGUAGGGUAUCUGCCGCAAUGGGCGAAAGCCUUACGGAACAACGCCGCGUGAGUGAUGAAGGUCUUCGGAUCGUAAAACUCUGUUAUUAGGGAAGAACAAAUGUGUAAGUAACUAUGCACGUCUUGACGGUACCUAAUCAGAAAGCCACGGCUAACUACGUG
rnacentral:rRNA from 1 species